GUUUAACUGUGUACAUGAAAUAUUGACACAUCGAAGUUCGGCAAAAAGCAAAUGCUUAUUAAAUUAAGUAAUUCUGCUUUAUUACAUAUUUCUAUAAGCAGCACUGUCAUAAGCAGCACUGCCUUCUUGUAGUUUAAGUAAUAGACAGAAUUCUACACAACGCCACUACGCUGACAAAAGGAGACAGUCAAAAACGCAGUAACGCAUUAAGGCGGGCUAUGUUUUCUAUGCAAGAAUUUCCAUCAACAAAAUCGUUGCUCGCGAGGGACGAAAGCAUAUCCAAAUAUCAUCCACCAAUGAGAAUACUGCAAGCUAAGGAAGACAUCGAUGGCGAUCGCGAUCACCCGUCAGCUCAUGGUUCACAAUGGCCAUCCACUGGUGGUAGUAGUAAUCACGGUGGUACCCAUAGCCAUUAGUUAUUGCAUGAUGAUGGUAGACCUGACAGAAACGAUGUUGGAAUUCGGAACUGUUACAAUGGUUGCUCGUUAAUGGAUAUAUACACCUGCAAUCACCAUAACCAGCACACAUAUUCUGUUUCCAUGGGAUUGUUCCUGGACAUGUGUCCCGCCAUUCUGGACCAACUUAUACACGGUGCUACAGAUUGCUGGAGACUUUCCACCGAGCCUCAUCUCACGACACCUGCUACAAUACCGACAUUUUCAGUGUCUAAAACGACGAUUUCAAAUGAAACAUUAUAAAACAAUACUUCGACGAUAUCAAAAGCAAAUAGCUACAUUUUUGGAUCUCUUUCCACACUUGUCAUCAGUCUGUUCAGAAUGUUCGGUGCCGUUUUCAUUAAACCGACGAGGGUCAACAUCCGCGCCUAUCUCAUGGCCUUUAUGCUGUCCCUCGCCGUUGGUUGCCUUGUUGCAGAUGCUGGUUUGCAUUUACUA